rnacentral:rRNA from 1 species
GAGUUUGAUCCUGGCUCAGGAUGAACGCUAGCGGCAGGCUUAACACAUGCAAGUCGAGGGGCAGCGCGGGUAGCAAUACCUGGCGGCGACCGGCGAAAGGGUGAGUAACGCGUGAGCAACGUGCCCGUAUGUGGGGGAUAGUCGAUGGAAACGUCGCGUAAUACCCCGUAACACACUUCCCCGCAUGAGGAGGUGUUGAAAGAUUUAUUGCAUACGGAUCGGCUCGCGUGCCAUUAGGUAGACGGCGGGGUAACGGCCCACCGUGCCGACGAUGGCUAGGGGUUCUGAGAGGAAGGUCCCCCACAUUGGAACUGAGACACGGUCCAGACUCCUACGGGAGGCAGCAGUGAGGAAUAUUGGACAAUGGCCGGAAGGCUGAUCCAGCCAUGCCGCGUGCGGGAGGACGGCCCUAUGGGUUGUAAACCGCUUUUGCGAGGGAGCAAUAAGAGUCACGUGUGCACCGAUGAGAGUACCCUGCGAAUAAGCAUCGGCUAACUCCGUGCC